AGGCAGCGGCAGACUACGACCCGUGCAAGCCGGGUGCACCCCGCAAGGGGUGCGGCGCUCACAGCUUUAGCU
rnacentral:ribozyme from 1 species